rnacentral:rRNA from 1 species
CCUGGCUCAGAACGAACGCUGGCGGCAGGCCUAACACAUGCAAGUCGAACGAACCUUUUAGGUGAGUGGCGCACGGGUGCGUAACACGUGGGAAUAUACACUUCGGUAAGGAAUAACGUAGAGAAAUCUACGCUAAUACCUUAUAAUGACUCCGGGGGAAAGAUUUAUCGCCGAAGGAUGGGCCCGCGCUAGAUUAGAUAGUUGGUGGGGUAAUGGCCUACCAAGUCUACGAUCUAUAGCUGGUUUGAGAGGAUGAUCAGCCACACUGGGACUGAGACACGGCCCAGACUCCUACGGGAGGCAGCAGUGGGGAAUAUUGCACAAUGGGCGCAAGCCUGAUGCAGCGAUGCCGCGUGAGUGAAGAAGGCCUUAGGGUUGUAAAACUCUUUCAGAUGCGAAGAUAAUGACGGUAACAUCAGAAGAAGCUCCGGCUAACUCCGUGCCAGCAGCCGCGGUAAUACGGAGGGAGCUAGCGUUGUUCGGAAUUACUGGGCGUAAAGCGUACGUAGGUGGCUUAGUAAGUUGGGGGUGAAAUCCCAGGGCUCAACCCUGGAACUGCCCUCAAAACUACUGAGCUAGAAUCCUGGAGAGGUGAGUGGAAUUCCUAGUGUAGAGGUGAAAUUCGCAGAUAUUAGGAGGAAUACCAGUGGCGAAGGCGGCUAACUGGACGGGUACUGACACUGAGGUACGAAAGCGUGGGGAGCAAACAGGAUUAGAUACCCUGGUAGUCAACGCCGUAAACGAUGUAUGCUAGUUGUUGGAAUCCAUAGGGUCGGUGACGCAGCUAAACCAUUAAGCAUACCGCCUGGGGAGUACGGUCGCAAGAUUAAAACUCAAAGGAAUUGACGGGGACCCGCACAAGCGGUGGAGCAUGUUGUUUAAUUCGAAGCAACGCGAAGAACCUUACCUACCCUUGACAUACUCGUCGGGAUUUCCAGAGAUGGAUUUCUUCGGUUCGGCCGGACGAGAUAUAGGUGCUGCAUGGCUGUCGUCAGCUCGUGUCGUGAGAUGUUAGGUUAAGUCCUGCAACGAGCGCAACCCUUAUCGUAUGUUGCCAUCAUUAAGUUGGGAACUCAUGCGAGACUGCCGGUGUUAAGCCGGAGGAAGGUGGGGACGACGUCAAGUCAUCAUGGCCCUUACGUGUAGGGCUACAAACGUGCUACAAUGGCUACUACAGUGGGCAGCAAACCGGCGACGGUGAGCGAAUCCCCAAAAGUAGUCUCAGUUCGGAUUGUUCUCUGCAACUCGAGAACAUGAAGUCGGAAUCGCUAGUAAUCGUGGAUCAGCAUGCCACGGUGAAUACGUUCCCGGGUCUUGUACACACCGCCCGUCACAUCAUGGGAGUUGAUUCUGCCCGAAGGCCGUGCGCUAACUUAGGAGGCAGCCGGCCACGGUAGGGUCAGCGACUGGGGUGAAGUCGUAACA